GCCAGCAUGGUGUAGUGGCUUGAGUAUUGGACUAUGACUCUGGAGACCUGGGUUCGAAACCCUGCUUGGCC
rnacentral:tRNA from 1 species